rnacentral:lncRNA from 1 species
CUCAACACUAGAAGAAGUGUAUAGCCUACAAAUCUAUCAAGAUUGCUAUAAUUCCUCACUCUCAACUAGUUUACAGUAAUGAAAAUUCUUAAGCUUCAACUCAACAACUAAUCUAGGUAUUUAAACAAAAGAAAUAGCAGUUGAGAAGAUUUGAGCUACGCGCCGACUUCUGGAAUGAAGGAACAGAUCCGUUGGAUCUGUUGUAACUAACCUAAAACUGAACUCCCUUAACUCUUGCAUAUUU